rnacentral:lncRNA from 1 species
AUUUCCCUCUCCGGUCUCCUUCACAGGGAUGGCGUCAGCUGAAGGACUGAAGCCGAAAAUCCUUCUGGAGUGGACUUUGUAAAUCAGGAGCCUCAGCUUCCGGUUAAUAUUAACCCCCAAGCCUCUUAACCUGUACAUGGAACAGAAAUCUUGGUCGUUUGCUCAGUAAGAUCUUAUUUAUGGAGCGGUGCUGUCAGACCUCUUCGGGGAACUCUUGAAUGACUUUAAGAGGUUCUUGUGGAUAACCAGACUCAUAAAUGAUCUUCCAACUUGUCCUAAUUUGCAGCUAAAACAAACUCAUAUACAAACAGACAGCAACAAUACCAAACAAAUAAAAGCUGUGGGAGACCGGAUGAAAAUGAAAAGGCCGGUCUGUGUUGGAGCUGGGGCAGACCCAGGACUCCACAUGUCUGCUGAUUCACAUCAUGGGCAGAGCCCUACUAGUGGCAUCCUGUGAGCACCACUCACCAGUAUCCUCCGCCGACGAGUGCUCCCCGUUUAUUCAACAUGCAGCCCUUUCAUAAAGCAUAUCCACUUUACAGAUGGAUGAACGGAAGCUGGGCAAACUGAAGCAGUUUCAGAACCUGCUUGAAGUAACAAAGUAUCUAGUGACAGAAAUCGGACUUUGUUCAUUUAACUGAGUGUGUGCUUCUAAGUACUUAGCUAUGCUGAUAACUGUGAUAAACCCACAUGUGUUUAAUGAAUUCUUAUCAACCUGCUUUACCUAAAAAUGUCUAAUUCUAAAAUUUAAGUUAUUGGCUAGAAACAAAAAAUUCACUAAAGCCAUAUGUCUCCAUUUUGUACCUGCUAUAUAGUUAUCUACAAUACACAGAAAACACUUAAAACUUGAUUUGUUUCUAGAUAUGUUAAGAUCUACAUGCAGGGCAUUUAUCUGGAUUAGCAGUGAGUGAUAUUUGGGUUGUUAGAAUACUUGGGCCAAUUAAGUUAACAAAAUUGUCAUAAGUAGCAUAUCUACUUCUCAAAACAUUAAAUAAAGUUGACAUCCCAG